UCUCGUCAUCAAAUCCAGCACCUGAAUUUACAAUGUACGUAUGAAUAUCUUUGUCAACAUCUAAUAAAACUCAGUAAUUCAAAAAACAAAGCAACUUUCAUCAAUCAAUUCAUGCUGCCCAGCAUGAUCAUUGCUUCUAUAGCUAUUCGCCAACAAAAUUGCAGAAUAGUGACAUUAUCUUGAAGUCAUGCCAGAAAUAUGUCCACAGCAGUAUUUCUUUAAGUGACAAGGAUAAACAACCUAGGCUAAAGAACAAAAUUAAAACAUGGUUGACUACUCAACUUUUAGAAGUUAAAAGUACCGUUUACUGUAAAUUCUUAUGAGCCAUAUAAGGAUAAUAGCAAAAAAAAUAAGAAUGAUAUAAUUACCAAUGAAACAGAAAACAAUAAAUAAACGAAUGU
rnacentral:misc_RNA from 1 species